AGCGCAACCCUCGACCUUAGUUGCCAGCAUUCAGUUGGGCACUCUAAGGUGACUGACCGGCUAAAAGUCGGAGGAAGGUGGGGAUGACGUCAAAUCAUCAUGCCCCUUAUGACCUGGGCUACACACGUGCUACAAUGGGCGGUACAAAGGGUCGCGAACCCGCGAGGGGGAGGCCAAUCCCAAAAAAGCCGCUCUCAGUUCGGAUUGCAGGCUGCAACUCGCCUGCAUGAAGCCGGAAUCGCUAGUAAUCGCGGAUCAGCAUGCCGCGGUGAAUACGUUCCCGGGCCUU
rnacentral:rRNA from 1 species